UGUUUCCAAUGAGUGGGGUUUCUAUCAGGUUUCUGCCGGUCAAUCGGAUAUGAGCCGGAGAAAAUCAUCAAGAAAUGAUCGGAGCGAAAUGGAACCUCUGAUAGGAGAUCAUGGCGGCCUAAAACACGAGCACACAAACGGCAGAGACUUCAAAGACGUAGAGCUUGGCGUGACCCUACCAUCACAUGAGCCAAUCUCUAGGAAAUCGUUGGAUGUAAACUCAACGCAGAAAGCAGUAUGUGACUUUGAAGAGGCAAUUGAACUUACUGGCUACGGCAGAUUUCAUUACUUUCUGCUGACAGUAUGUGGGUUCGUGUCGACGAGCGAGGAGAUGGAUGUUAUCUCGAUGUCGUUCAUUCUGCCCUCGGCUCAGUGCGACCUCGACCUCAGCACUCAGACCAAGGGCUGGCUCAACAGCAUCAUAUUCAUCGGUAUGAUGGUAGGCGCCUACUUUUGGGGCUCAAUAGCUGACACAGUGGGAAGGAAGAAAGUGCUGAUUGUCAUCUCCUUUAUGAAUGCCAUCUGCAUAGUGGCUUCCUCGUUCAGUCAAUCCUAUGCUCUAUUCAUGGUCUUCCGAUUCCUGAACGGCGCUGCCUUGGGAGGCAGUGGCCCCGUGAUUUGGUCGUACUUUGCCGAAUUCCAGCCGAAAGUGAAGCGAGGAUCAAUGCUCAGUUUUAUGGCCGCUUUCUGGACGCUGGGCAACCUCUUUGUAGCCAGUUUAGCAUGGCUGAUAAUUCCGUCAGGAAUCGGCUACAGGUCAGCUGGUGGCUUCCUGUUCAACUCUUGGCGCAUCUUCCUGUUGGUCUGCUCAAUUCCGUCGUUCGUGGUGGCCAUCCUGCUCUACUUCCUGCCCGAGAGCCCCAAAUUCCUGCUGACUCAGGGCAAACAUGACGAGGCGCUGGCAGUCUUCCAUCGCAUCUACUCUGUCAACACAGGCCGGUCGGCCGACACGUAUCCGGUUAAGCGCCUGCUGCAUCAAAGCCACGAGAUGCAAACUCAGCAGUCGUGCCCUGAGACAGGCAUCACGAAGUUUGGCAACAAUGCAGACCUGAACAGUGGCAAGCUGAAGCCGGGCUACGCGGAGGUGAAGAAUGGUCCGGUGCGUCUCAAGGUCAUGUUUGCCAGUAUAAUCGACAACACUGUACAGCUGUUCAAGCCCCCCAUCCUGCGCUUCACCCUCAUAUCCAUCACCAUCAAUCUCACAUUUCAUAUCGGGUACUACGGUCUGAUGAUGUGGUUUCCGGAGCUGUUCAAUCGGUUCGACGAGUUCUCCCGUGCGCACAACGGUCUGGAAGAGGCGGGCGUCUGCCAAGUGACCCACUUUGUCGUCAACUCGGGGUCCCAUUCUGACGCCGUCCUCUGCAGCGACAAAAUAGAGAGCGGAGUCUUUCUAGAGUCGUUCAUCACAGUCUCCUCUGCCAUACCCAGCAACAUCAUCGCUGUCUUCUUCAUGGACUCGCUCGGACGAAAGUUUUUCUUGGUUUUCAGCACGAUGAUGUCAGGUCUGUGUGCGGUGGGGAUGUUCUUCAUCUACAACAAAUUUCAGAAUCUGGUGGUGUCUUCGAUAUUCAGUGGGGUGAUCAGCUGUGGCAAUGCAGCUCUCGACUGCCUUAUCACCGAGAUAUUUCCGACGCACCUUCGCGCCACCGGUGUUGCCAUUUCCAUGGUUGCCGCCCGCCUAGGGGGUAUCAUCGGCAACAUUGUCAUAGCCCUGCUUUUGGACCUCUAUUGCCCCGCCCCAACGUUCAUAGUCGCUGCUCUAUUAAUAGGCGGUGGUCUCCUGUGCCUAUAUUUACCGAAUACCACACGUGAGCCACUUUCGUGACCUCGGUACACCGGCUUCCAUUGCCACAGCUCCAUAUCAGAACCAUAUGGUCUCCAACCACUGAGAAUCCAUGUGUCACCAAUCAGGAAAUCAUGUGUCACAAGAAAUCAUGUGUCACAGGAAAUCAUGCAUCACAAGAAAUCAUGUGUCACAAGAAAUCAUGUGUCACAGGAAAUCAUGUGUCACAAGAAAUCAUGUGUCACAAGAAAUCAUGUGUCACAGGAAAUCAUGUGUCACAAGAAAUCAUGUGUAACAGGAAAUCGGUGGUAUGGCUGAGAGUGUGCAUGAAAAGAUUUAGCAUAACAUCGACGUUUCGUUUACUUCAAGCGAUUUUUAUUGAUCAAGCUGCGGGUAGGUACAGUCCGAGUCCUGUAGCUUUGCCUAUCGGCGGAGGGCCACUAGACUACAAUUACAAUACUAACCCCCGUUCAAAAACAUGCAACAUUUUAAUAAUGUAUCUUUUCAUGAGCAACAGAUGCUCUCUUGUAUGUUCUUAAAAGCAACGUGUUGCAUCCGAAAAGAUACAAAAGGAGCUUAAAUGUAUCCUUCCAUAAGCAACAAAUGUUCUUUUGUAUCUUCUCAAAAGCAACGUGUUGCAUCUGAAAAGAUACACAAGGAGUUGCAAUGUAUCUUUCUAUAAGCAAAUGAUGCUCUUUUGUAUAUUUUCAGAUGCAAUACGUUGCUUUUGAGAAGAUACAAAAGAGCAUAUCUGGAAAGAUACAUUAGAGCACAUUGUAUCAUACAAUGCUCUCUGUAUGAUACAAAGAGCAUACAGAUGCUCUUUUGUAUCUUCUCAAAAGCAACGUGUUGCAUCUGAAAAGAUACUCAAGGAGUUGUAAUGUAUCUUUCUAAAAGCAAAUGAUGUUCUUUUGUAUCUUCUCAAAACCAACGUGUUGCAUCCGAAAAGAUACACAAGGAGCUUUAAUGUAUCUUUCCAUACGCAAAAGAUGCUCUUUUGUAUCUUCUCAAAACCAACAUGUUGCAUCUUAAAAGAUAAGAGCUUUAAUGUUUCUUUCCAUAAGCAACAUAUAUGCUCUUUUGUAUCUUCUCAAAAGCAACGCGUUGCAUCCGAGAAUAUACACAAGGAGCUUUUAGGAGUUACGUCUUUCUAGCACAACACAGCCAUCAGCUGAGAUUCGUUCAACAUGCUCUUUCCAUUGUUGGUGUUACGUUGCAACUCCAUCAUUCAUGAAGAAUCUCUGUGUGUAGGGGGCUCCCUCCAUCUAGGGUGUAGCAUACUAAAUAAAGUCUGGUUUACACGAGGAAAGUUAGAAGGCAAGUGACUCAGCACCAUUUAGAGGAAAUAAUAGUUCAAGUGAAAACAUUCGGACAGAAAAAGUUAAAAUUGAACUUAUACUUGUCAGGCCAACUGGACUCAUGUAAAUCAUUCUUUAUAAAUGGCAUGGAGGUCAGUAUUUAUGAACGACUCUUGAGGACAAACUUAGCCAAACACAAAGCAUGGCAGUCAAGAAUCGAUCGAUUGCUUUUGGUCAGAGACUUUGGUUUUAGAGACAACACACUCAUACUAGGCUAAGUUCGUUCUUAAGAAUCACUGUAUUUGAGAAGUUAGGUACAUUUUCUCUGAAGUCGAAUAUUUCCAUGUCAGUAGGAAAAACUGGUUUCCACUUAUCUGAUCAAAAUCAUUACACGAAUAUAAAGUAAUUCCACAAACGUCAUUUAUUUU
rnacentral:misc_RNA from 1 species